CUAUCCUAUACUGGGGGGAUAGCCCGAUGAAAGUUGGAUUAAUACCGCAUAUAGCUAUAUAGUUGCAUGAUUAUGUAGUGAAAGAUUUAUUGGUAUAGGAGGAGUCUGCGGCACAUUAGCUAGUAGGUGAGGUAAAGGCUUACCUAGGCGACGAUGUGUAGCCGGUCUGAGAGGAUGAACGGCCACAAUGGAACUGAGACACGGUCCAUACUCCUACGGGAGGCAGCAGUGGGGAAUAUUGCACAAUGGGGGAAACCCUGAUGCAGCAACGCCGCGUGAGUGAAGAAGGUUUUCGGAUUGUAAAGCUCUGUUAGCAGGGAAGAGGAAGGACGGUACCUGCAGAGGAAGCCACGGCUAACUACGUGCCAGCAGCCGCGGUAAUACGUAGGUGGCAAGCGUUGUUCGGAAUAACUGGGCGUAAAGGAUGCGUAGGCGGUUAAACAAGUUAUAUGUUAAAUAUAUAGGCUUAACCUGUAGAAAGCAUAUAAAACUGUUUAACUAGAGUGCAGGAGAGGUAAGUGGAAUUCCUAGUGUAGCGGUGAAAUGCGUAGAGAUUAGGAAGAACACCAGUGGCGAAGGCGACUUACUGGACUGUAACUGACGCUGAGGCAUGAGAGCAUGGGGAGCAAACAGGAUUAGAUACCCUGGUAGUCCAUGCUGUAAACGAUGGGUACUAGGUGUGGGUUGUGAAUAACAAUU
rnacentral:rRNA from 1 species